CCUACGGGCGGCAGCAGUGGGGAAUAUUGGACAAUGGGCGAAAGCCUGAUCCAGCCAUGCCGCGUGUGUGAAGAAGGCCUUCGGGUUGUAAAGCACUUUCAGUGGGGAAGAAAGCCUUGGGGCUAAUACCCUCGAGGAAGGACAUCACCCACAGAAGAAGCACCGGCUAACUCCGUGCCAGCAGCCGCGGUAAUACGGAGGGUGCGAGCGUUAAUCGGAAUUACUGGGCGUAAAGCGCGCGUAGGCGGUCUGAUAAGCCGGUUGUGAAAGCCCCGGGCUCAACCUGGGAACGGCAUCCGGAACUGUCAGGCUAGAGUGCAGGAGAGGAAGGUAGAAUUCCCGGUGUAGCGGUGAAAUGCCUAGAGAUCGGGAGGAAUACCAGUGGCGAAGGCGGCCUUCUGGACUGACACUGACGCUGAGGUGCGAAAGCGUGGGUAGCAAACAGGAUUAGAUACCCCAGUAGUC
rnacentral:rRNA from 1 species